rnacentral:rRNA from 1 species
AUGAAUGUUUUAGCUUGGAACUGCCGGGGUGGGGGGAACCGCCGGACAGUUCGCGAGGUGUUGGCCCUCUCAAAAGCCAAUUCCCCCAAAUUUGUCUUCCUGUCGGAGACAAGACAAGAUGUAUCAAAGAUGGAGAAGCUAUGUUGGCGGUUGGGCUUAAAAGGUUUCGCUGGUGUUAGCUGUGAUGGUUUGAGUGGAGGCUUAGCGUUGUACUGAGAUAAUUCCCUUUCGGUGGUAGUGUUGGAUUCUUGUAAGUGA